rnacentral:rRNA from 1 species
GUCUACAGCCAUACCACCCUGAACAAGCCCGAUCCCGUGGGAUCUCGGAAGCUAAGCGGAGUUGGGCCUGGUUAGUUGUGGGAUUUUGGAAGCUAAGCAGGGUUGGGCCUGGUUAGUACUUGGAUGGAAGACCAGGUGCUAUAGGCG